rnacentral:rRNA from 1 species
CCGCGGUAUCCUAACCGUGCAAAGGUAGCGUAAUCACUUGUCCCCUAAAUAGAGACCAGUAUGAACGGCUAAAUGAGGACAAAUCUGUCUCCUACGAUCAAUCAGUGAAACUGAUCUCUCAGUACAAAAACUGAGAUAAACACAUAAGACGAGAAGACCCUGUGGAGCUUAAGACUACCCCAUCAACCAAUAGCGUAUGAUAAAAAGUCUUAAGUUGGGGCAACUUCGGAAUAAAACAGAACUUCCGAGCACAGAAGCACCCCUUCUAACCAAGGCCUACAAGCCAAAUAUAAACGACCCAGUCACACUGAUCAACGAACCAAGUUACCCCAGGGAUAACAGCGCUAUCUUCUUCAAGAGUCCCUAUCGACAAGAAGGUUUACGACCUCGAUGUUGGAUCAGGMCACCCAGAC